CUGCUCCCGGCUUUCAUGUGGAUCAAGGCUGGAGGAUGACAAGCUCCUGACUGAUAGAUACAUGGAGACUUCGCUGGUGAUUUAUUGGCUUUCUGCACCUGACGAGAACCACUAGGCCUAUCUGAGGAGGGAAAUAUAUGGGCUUUCCUGACUCCAAGUGGCAGCCCCGGGGCGAGCAUGUGAUGUCAAGCUGGGCAGAGGAAAGCGGAGCUGUGCACCGGCCUGUGUACUGUAAGCCGGCCCGGGUCGUAAAAGUGUCAGCACGCGAUAUAUUUCUUGCAGGGGAUCCUCUCUGGCUCUUGCCAGCGCCUCUCCCCCGUGGCUGGCAGCCGCCCUAGCCGGGCCUGCAAACAGCGGAUGCCCCAGGUCGCUAUCCCUCCGCCCUGCCCCGGAGCGCCGGGCCCUCACGUUCUCGCUCCAGCCUGGGGUCUCUCACGUGGCAUCUGGCCCUGGGGACGGUGCAGCGGAGGAGUUAAUUGCUGUCACUCCUGACUUCAGCGAAAGAGGUCGAUCGUGGGGUGAGAUAUUGAAGCUGGGGAUUGACCUGUGGACCAAGAGUUUGAUGGGGCAACUCAAUAGCAAACUCAAUGUUCCCAGAGAUGAACCAAGUAAUCAGUUAUUUAUUCAGAAAAUUAAGUGCCAUUCGUGUGCCAGGCACUGCGCCCCCUACCCGCAGGCCUCACCUUGGCCACCGGCCUGAGUUGUUCUCAUUUCUCCUCCCUCUACCUCCAGGCUUCUUCCUCGGGGUUAGCAGGGGCCUGGAGUGGAUGUUUAGUCUACCGGUCAGACUCCAGGUCUUAUAUCUUGAAACUGUAAGUCCCUGAAUUCACAGACAAUUCAGAGUAAGGAUGGAGGCAAAGAAGAGGACCUUGGGUUUACUGUUCACGAGAUGACCUCAUAAAGGUGUUCAGUGAUGAAGAGGAGUGGCUGAAGAGAUGGCUGUCUAGAGUCAACACAAACCUACCCCAAAGUUUGACCUUUGCCUUAAGUCAGUAACUGAGGAGGGCCACGGUCCUGAGUUCAGUCCAGACCCCAGGAAGAUUCAGAGCCUGCAGUUGUCCUCUGGUUUCUAAAGUAUGUUAUUGGGCUAAAGAUUUCAAGACAUUUAUCCUUCUUUGCUUUCUAUCGCAGCCAUUAAAUGUUUUAGAUAUUUUCUGCCAGAAGGCAGGAAUCAUGAAGAUAACAAAUAUUAAAGACAAAACCAAAUAACUUUUAAUGA
rnacentral:lncRNA from 1 species